GCACCCCAGGCCCGCCUGCUUCAGCCUCCAGUCCUGACCUGACUACUCCUCCUUGCCUUCCCCCCAGCCAGGCCCGAUCCGCGGACCACCCACGCCCCGCCCACUAAACUGGGCGGGCGGUCGGGCCUGGCUGCCUGUGUGUUUUUACUGUGCACUGUGACUGUGUUAAUAAAAAAAAAAAUAUAUAUAUAUGCAGUCCGGACGGGCCCCCAGUGGCGUAGGGCCCCAUAGCCACUGCUAUGGUUGCUAUGGCGAUCCCUACGCCACUGAUUUGGACAGAUUGGCAGUUAGAGAUCCAAUGCCAGAUAUUAUGGGACGGCCAGGUGGGCUAACGGGGUCCUUAUGUACCUUGGGUAGGCAAUAAAGGACUGGGAGUCUGCCCGGCGUUCCCACAAUAAAAUCAAAUUCUGUUUUUGUUAUGAUUCCCAAAUGUAACCCUCUGUUGCUGUAUUUCAGCAGUUUUUCUUUGAAGGUCACAGUUGGAUCCACCUUGAGUAUUUUGUAUGUGCUGACAUCAGAUAAACGUCUCCAACAUUCAUUGUUGUAAUCUUUAGUGUUCAUGAUCACUAUAGCGCCCCCCUUAUCUGCGGGCCGUAUAGUGAUCUCUUCUUUUUCUUGAAACUCCCUUAUUGCUAGUAUUUUUUUUCUCGAUAAAUUAUUUUUAUAGAUACGUUUUUCUUUCAAAUGUCUUAGAUCUGUUUCAACACAUUUUUGAAAUCCAGAUAAUUCCGGGCCUAUUUCAUUUCUGGGAAAUUUUUUUGAUUUGUUUUUUAGAUUUGUGUGUGGGAAUUCAUCUAUUGUUUGUAUCUGUGGAACUGGUGGAUUUUUAAAAAAAUAUUUUUUUAGGCAGAGAUUUCUUAUAAAAUUUUACUGGAUUACUAAUUCCACACCAUCAAUUUGGACAGACCUGGGCGGUCUAUAAAUAGCCAGUCCAAAAUGGGAGAGUAGCUGCCACUGAGGAAGGGGUAAGAGGUCCCCGAAACGCGUCUGGCGUGAACCAGCGUACUGCUCCCUUUGGACAAGAGAGAGGCCGCUACACGAAUAUCUGCAGAAAUCAGAAAAAUAUUUUUUCGGUCAACUUUGGAAAGAUUGGAGCGCUCCGAAUUUCACAACAGUUUCUUUCAUCCGAAAAUCUCGGCACCAACUCUCGUGAUAUUUCCCGCUGUGAAUCAUACGCUACAGCUUUUGGAAGAGACCGCGUGAUAUGCUGGCAUCCGUACGAACAAGUUGGAGACAGCUAACACAGUAGCGCUUUUCCAACAGAACAUUUCCUUCAAUAUCCAGGUCUGGAGGGCCGCAAUUCCGGAUACAUUGCCUCGACCAAGGAGAAGCUUCUCGCCUGUCCUAAAUAUACCAGGUACCUACCCUUGUAGACAUCAACUGCCACCAGGGAUAUUUUAUCCAUCCAGUUACAGUGACCCAGUCUACAGGAUUUAAUGAAUGAGUCCCUUCCAGUGAAGAGGGAUCUUGAAUAGAACUGAGAACACGAUUAUGAACAUGUAAUCUCCUGUGCAAUGCUCCUACAUAUUUUGUCAAGUCUGAAUGAAUGGUCUGGAGCUGCUGAGGGAAAUACAGUCCUAUCUCAUAUGAACUUAACUGUGUUUUUCUAUGAGGGGGUACUCUAAUGGUAUACAAUGCUAUUGGUAAACACUCUGUCCAUGGCUUACCAGUCUCGGCAAUUUCUUUCUGGAUUUUUAGCUUUAAAGUUCCAUUCAAGCUUUCUACCUUACCUUUCUACCUUUCUUCCAUUCUUCUCAGCCUUUCUUCUUACCCAUUCUUCCACUUGUUCCUGCAACUUCUGGAGGAGGGUUAGAUCCACCUCCCCUUUUUUUGGAACCAUGUCUACAGUAUGUCCCAUCACGGGAGGAGGCAACAGAGCAGCCUGCUUGGCAGCAGCAUCUGCUCUACGGUUUCUAUCAGCCUCCUUUGUUUGCUCUUUGGUAUGGGCCAGUACCUUGACAAUGGCCACCAUCUUAGGUAAUGCUCUGAACAAUUGAGCUACGGAUUCUGCAUUUUUGAUAGGCUUACCCGAGGAUCCCACAAAAUCCCUGCAUCUCCAACUGGGACUGUUCUCCAAAGGAGAUAUUAAUUAUCAAUAUUCUGCCUUAAUAUCAAUAAUUAAUAAUCAUAAAUAGGCGUGACUCAUGCCUAUUUAUACUAUAAAUACUAGCUACCUUGUUGCUCUACCUUUUCAUGAACUACGUGCGAUGGAUUAUUACGGCGGUGACUACAAAUGACUAUAAACUGUGUAUUUAACAAUAAAGUUAUUUAUUUAACAAAUACAAGUCUACAGUCUAAUGAUGCUAUUAUAUCUAUAUAUAUUAUAUCAAUGGUUAUAAAUAUAUAUACACAUAUAGACAUACACGGCAAUACAGUAAAAACACUAUGAUACACCUAAACUAU